UUUCCGUAGGUGAACCUGCGGAAGGAUCAUUGUCGAACCUAUCGAUCGAACGACCCGUGAACACGUUGUUUAACAGCCUUUCGAGGGCAGAGCGGGCGUGAGCCCUCCACUCUUGCACUCGAUGGAUCGGUGGGCCUCGCGAGCCUCGCCCUUCGUCGUACGCCCGGCGCAUGCGCACGGGGGCGUCUCGCGGGGGACCUUAUCGAUCCGACAACGAACCCCCCGGCGUGGAAAACGCCAAGGAAAACGCAACGAAACAACGCCGUCCCGUCGGCCCGGUCACGGGCGCGCGGGAAGGCGUGGUCGUUUAACUCACAAAAACGACUCUCGGCAACGGAUAUCUAGGCUCUCGCAUCGAUGAAGAACGUAGCAAAAUGCGAUACUUGGUGUGAAUUGCAGAAUCCCGUGAAUCAUCGAGUCUUUGAACGCAAGUUGCGCCCGACGCCAUUAGGUCGAGGGCACGCCUGCCUGGGCGUCACGCGCACGUCGCCCCCUCCACCCCUGCCAGGUCAGGGGCUCGGGGCCGGGGCGGACAUUGGCCUCCCAUGGAACAUCGCGUCCGUGGUUGGUUAAAAAGCGGUCCCGCGGCGAUGCACGCCACGACAAGCGGUGGUUUGAAACGAACCCCUGAUCCGUGUCGUGCGCGGCGCUUCGCGUAACGGGGGCACCACGAAAGGCCCGAGAACCUCGAUCGCGACCCCAGGUCAGGC
rnacentral:misc_RNA from 1 species